UAUACAUGCAGUCGACGAUACCAUUUAGCUUGCUAGAUGGGAAAGUGGCGCACGGGUGCGUAACGCGUAUGCAACCUACCUUAAUCAGGGGGAUAGCCCGAAGAAAUUCGGAUUAACACCGCAUAAAAUCACAGUACAGCAUUGUACAAUGAUCAAAUAUUUAUAGGAUUAAGAUGGGCAUGCGUGUCAUUAGUUAGUUGGCGAGGUAACGGCUCACCAAGACCACGAUGACUAGGGGAUCUGAGAGGAUGACCCCCCACACUGGUACUGAGACACGGACCAGACUCCUACGGGAGGCAGCAGUAAGGAAUAUUGGUCAAUGGAGGCAACUCUGAACCAGCCAUGCCGCGUGCAGGAAGACAGCCCUCUGGGUCGUAAACUGCUUUUAUUCGGGAAUAAACCUACUUACGUGUAAGUAGCUGAAUGUACCGAAGGAAUAAGGAUCGGCUAACUCCGUGCCAGCAGCCGCGGUAAUACGGAGGAUCCAAGCGUUAUCCGGAUUUAUUGGGUUUAAAGGGUGCGUAGGCGGCUUAUUAAGUCAGGGGUGAAAGACGGUGGCUCAACCAUCGCAGUGCCCUUGAUACUGAUGAGCUUGAAUACACUAGAGGUAGGCGGAAUGUGACAAGUAGCGGUGAAAUGCAUAGAUAUGUCACAGAACACCGAUUGCGAAGGCAGCUUACUAUGGUGUUAUUGACGCUGAGGCACGAAAGCGUGGGGAUCAAACAGGAUUAGAUACCCUGGUAGUCCACGCCCUAAACGAUGAUACUCGCUGUUAGCGAUACACAGUUAGCGGCUAAGCGAAAGCGUUAAGUAUUCCACCUGGGGAGUACGCCCGCAAGGGUGAAACUCAAAGGAAUUGACGGGGGCCCGCACAAGCGGAGGAGCAUGUGGUUUAAUUCGAUGAUACGCGAGGAACCUUACCCGGGCUUGAAAGUUAGUGAAUAAUCUAGAGAUAGAUUAGUGAGCAAUCACACGAAACUAGGUGCUGCAUGGCUGUCGUCAGCUCGUGCCGUGAGGUGUUGGGUUAAGUCCCGCAACGAGCGCAACCCCUAUGUUUAGUUGCCAGCACGUUAAGGUGGGGACUCUAAACAGACUGCCUGUGCAAACAGAGAGGAAGGAGGGGACGACGUCAAGUCAUCAUGGCCCUUACGUCCGGGGCUACACACGUGCUACAAUGGAUGGUACAGAGGGCAGCAAGCUGGCAACAGCAAGCAAAUCUCAAAAAGCCAUUCACAGUUCGGAUAAGAGGUCUGCAACUCGACCUCUUGAAGUUGGAUUUCCCUUAAAAUCCCGGAUCCAAAAAGGACCC
rnacentral:rRNA from 1 species